GCUGAUAUAACCUUGUGGUUAAGGUGAAGCACUGCAUCCUAGGUUGCCAGGGUUCAAUUCCCGGUCUCGGCA